GCAGAAGUAACAUUCCUUUGAACACUCAGCUUUCUGAAAUGGUGUCCCACCGCAAGGACUGGAGAAGGGCACCCUUGGAAAUGCAAUGCUACAUCUCAAUGGGAUUUUCCAGUACAAAGAUUCUUUUCAAAUAACAUAAUUGUGGAUACACACCACUCCUACAGUGGUAAACCUCAGGUUCUCCUCCUGCCUUUUGCUAAGUAUAUGUCUUGAUGACAAGCCUUCUGCUGAUGAGCUGUGUUUCUGGACCGAUCAUGGUAGAAGUCAAUUAACGUGUCCCUCACUUGGGGUUUCUCAAGGGAGUCUCACUCUGUCGUCCAGGCUGGAGUGCAGUGGCACAAUCUCGGCUCACUGCAAGCUCUGCCUCCCAGGUUCACGCCAUUCUCCUGCCUCAGUCUCCCAACUGCACUGAUGAGGAAACUGAAACAGAAAAUCCAGAGUAAAUUCCACCAGGCCACACAGCAAGGUCUGAUAGAGCCAGGAGAGACUUUAUGAAAUCCAGACUCUCACACUAAUGCUCUAUCAGCUAGACCUCCAUGUGAGUCUCCCCAAUGUAGGUAGGAAGUGCUUUCCCUAAAAUGCUCAUAAAGCAAAUCAGAGCAAUGCUGCAUUCCAUGUGAUUUCUAAUUUGAAAUGCAAACAAUUGCCAAUUUGUUUGACUUGUAUUUAUAAUUAUUUCCUUGUGAAUUACUCAUCACUAAAUGCUUUAUAAAUAUUUUCUCUUUUUUUCCUCAAUGUCUAUGGAAUGAUCACAGCAUAGAAAA
rnacentral:lncRNA from 10 species